rnacentral:rRNA from 1 species
GGGCCCGCACAAGCGGUGGAGCAUGUGGUUUAAUUCGAUGCAACGCGAAGAACCUUACCUACCCUUGACAUCAUCAGAACUUGUUAGAGAUAACUCGGUGCCUUCGGGAACUGGUUGACAGGUGCUGCAUGGCUGUCGUCAGCUCGUGUCGUGAGAUGUUGGGUUAAGUCCCGCAACGAGCGCAACCCUUAUCCUUAGUUGCCAGCACAUAAUGGUGGGGACUCUAAGGAGACUGCCGGUGACAAGCCGGAGGAAGGCGGGGACGACGUCAAGUCAUCAUGGCCCUUACGGGUAGGGCUACACACGUGCUACAAUGGUCGGUACAGAGGGUUGCCAAGUCGCGAGGCGGAGCUAAUCUCAGAAAGCCGGUCAUAGUCCGGAUUGCAGUCUGCAACUCGACUGCAUGAAGUCGGAAUCGCUAGUAA